CGCACAUUGCGCCCUUUGGUAUUCCGAAGGGCAUGCCUGUUCGAGCGUCAUUAUCACCCCUCAAGCCCCGUGCUUGGCGUUGGACGGCCGGUCGAGCGAUCGACCCCUCCGAAAGACAAUGACGGCGGCCUGUGGUUCCCCCGGUACACUGAGCUUUUCACGGAGCACGUAUCGGACAAGGGCGCCCGGGACCCGGUCUUCUCCUCUCAGCAGGAAACUUCUCAAGGUUGACCUCGGAUCAGGUAGGAAUACGCGCUGAACUUAA
rnacentral:misc_RNA from 1 species